UAUAUUUCAAAUAAUUUUUUUAAAAAAUAUAUAAUUGGUCAAAUAAUUCUAUCAAAAUUUUAUUCGGUUAAAUAAGUCUAUUUAGCCGGGAUGAAAAAAUAAUUAAAAAAUAAUAUAUUGUUCACCGUUUUUAAAUAUGGUGAAUUAUUUAUUAUUUUUUUCUUAAGAGAGCAAACAAUAAACUGUUCACAAUUUCUUUCAAUUUUCUAUAUAAAAUUCUCCCAAUUAUAUAAAAUAUUUUAAUAAAUCAAAUACAAUUUUAACCAACGAAAAAUAAUCCUAACUAUCUAUUCAUAUAAUCCUAACAAUUAUAACAAUCAAAAUGAAAUUUCAAUAAUACACAUACAAUCCUAACAACCUCAAAAAAAUUUUCAAAAUCUAUAAAAAAAAUGUAUGAACAACAAUAAGAAUAUAAAAAAAAGAAAUAAUCCACUCAUACAAUCCUAACAAUCAAAUCGAAAUUUCAAUAAACCACGUAACAAUACGAACAAUCUUACGAAAAUCCUGAAAGGGUGAACGCAUGAGUUGGCAAGAAGAAUGUUAAUUUGUCAAAUAAAAUUUUUUAAAGGGAAAACUUUAAAAACCCCCUUGUGGUUUCGCACAAUCCUGUGGUUUAAAGUGUAUCAAUUUGCCCCCCUAUGAUUUUAUUUUUAUCUUUUCUAUAGCUUUUUUUCUUAAUAUUUUGUUAAAUUAUAUACAAAAAACCUUCAGAUACCCAUCUAGAUUUACCGAAUAUUUACUUUAGUACUCUUUAAUUUUAAUUUUGUCACUGAUUUAAGAAAAAAAAACAAUAAAAUUGAUAAAAAAAAGAGAAAAACGAAACCACAGGGGGAUAAAUUGAUACAUUUUAAACUACAGGGUACUAAAGUGAGAAAGUGCGAAACCACAGGGGAUUUUUGAAGUUAUCCCUUUUUU
rnacentral:lncRNA from 1 species